AGAGUUUGAUCCUGGCUCAGGAUGAACGCUGGCGGCGUGCUUAACACAUGCAAGUCGAACGAUGACUUUUGUGCUUGCACAAAAUGAUUAGUGGCGAACGGGUGAGUAACACGUGAGUAACCUGCCCUUAACUUCGGGAUAAGCCUGGGAAACUGGGUCUAAUACCGGAUACGACCUCCUGACGCAUGUCAUGGGGGUGGAAAGUUUGAUGCGGUUUUGGAUGGACUCGCGGCCUAUCAGCUAGUUGGUUGGGGUAAUGGCCCACCAAGGCGACGACGGGUAGCCGGCCUGAGAGGGUGACCGGCCACACUGGGACUGAGACACGGCCCAGACUCCUACGGGAGGCAGCAGUGGGGAAUAUUGCACAAUGGGCGAAAGCCUGAUGCAGCGACGCCGCGUGAGGGACGAAGGCCUUCGGGUUGUAAACCUCUUUCAGCAGAGAAGAAGCGAAAGUGACGGUACCUGCAGAAGAAGCGCCGGCUAACUACGUGCCAGCAGCCACGGUAAUACGUAGGGCGCAAGCGUUAUCCGGAAUUAUUGGGCGUAAAGAGCUCGUAGGCGGUUUGUCGCGUCUGCUGUGAAAGCCCGGGGCUCAACCCCGGGUCUGCAGUGGGUACGGGCAGACUAGAGUGCAGUAGGGGAGACUGGAAUUCCUGGUGUAGCGGUGAAAUGCGCAGAUAUCAGGAGGAACACCGAUGGCGAAGGCAGGUCUCUGGGCUGUAACUGACGCUGAGGAGCGAAAGCAUGGGGAGCGAACAGGAUUAGAUACCCUGGUAGUCC
rnacentral:rRNA from 1 species